CUCUGUUGCAAGUGGGGGUGCAGAGAGUGGCAGGGCUCCCCCUUCUCUUGCUCCAAACAGAAAAGUUUUAUUUGGCCCCAAGCUUCCUAUAAAUUUUCACCUCUAGGAAGACUUCAGCAGAAGAAAAAUGUCUGCAAACCAGUGCCCUGUGGAAUUAGAAACAAAUAUGAGAAGCUGAGUGAGCUUGGGCAAGCACGUGAAACCACAUCUUAUCUUUCUGAAUCCAACCUGAGAAUCUGAAGCCAUUUCUGUGGUGGCAGAGCUCCAUCCAUGAUGCAACAGUUAAAAAAAAGGACACAACUGACUACAUGCCUCCAGAGAAAACUCCUGAUUCUCCUAAAAGAAAAUAAUUUUUCUAUAGAGAGAUGGGGCAUUUGGCAAGACUCCCAGAAUACUCACCCCACUACCUGGAGAAGAAGAAUAAGAGUCUGGGCUGUACAGCCUUCAUUGAAUUUAAAGAUAUGUCUGCCACCUAAUGAUGAGCUGGGGAACAUAAUCAUCUCUGUUAUCUCUCUAUCUCCAGUGGUUUCCACAGUGCUUGUCACAUGGUAGGUGCUUGGUAAUUGCAUUUGGUGACAAUGAUACAAAAACAAUUAAGACAUAACUGUUGUCCUCAAAGAGUGAGUAGAAAUAAUUAAUGCAAUCAGAUAGUGUCUGUAACAGAUACAUGUGGAAAGUUCUAUGGACAUAUAGGAAGAGUGAUUAAAUCUCAAUGGGACUUUGCCCAUGUAAAGAGAAAUCAGAGGUAUCUCCAGAUAAAUAUAUAUCUUUUAAACAAAUUUUUGCAGUUUGUGUAGAAAUUAG
rnacentral:lncRNA from 1 species